UACGUAGGGUGCAAGCGUUGUCCGGAAUUAUUGGGCGUAAAGAGCUCGUAGGCGGUCUGUUGCGUCGGCUGUGAAAACCCGGGGCUCAACCCCGGGCCUGCAGCCGAUACGGGCAGACUAGAGUUCGGCAGGGGAGACUGGAAUUCCUGGUGUAGCGGUGAAAUGCGCAGAUAUCGGGAGGAACACCGGUGGCGAAGGCGGGUCUCUGGGCAAUUCCUGACGCUGAGGCGCGAAAGCGUGGGGAGCAAACGGG
rnacentral:rRNA from 1 species